rnacentral:lncRNA from 1 species
AAUAAAAAAAGUUCACAAUCAGCAACUUACAUGUCCGAUAAUAUCAACCAAUGGCAAAUCUCUACCGGUGAAGCAUUUUCGAGAUGUGGCAACAGUACAUCAGCAACAGCACGCUUCAGAGGAAAUAGCAGAUACCUUGAUGCAGCAUCAAACAUUUCCUCCACCUGUCCAAGCAGCAGUUUAAUAUUAAAGCAAAUGCAUCGACUCGUACCAAGUGAUACCCUGAAUCGAAACAAAUAGAUACCUGAUCUGGAUCAAUAUCUGUUAAAGCAUCAGUGUACCUGAGAAAGGUACAGGAUCACGUAUUGUCAGACAAUAAGUUAAGUUUGCCUGGUGGCACUAAUCAAAUCAAGUGGUCUUUGGGGUGAUUUGAAAUUGAUUUUUUUUGAAAAAGGUAAAGAUUUAUGAACCUUGCUAUUUUCCCAAUAGAUCAUUUGAAUGGGUCAUUUGUGAAUAAAUUUAAAUGUAAUUAUUGCAAAAAGAAAAAUAUAAGAAAAAUAAAAAUACGAAAAAUGUUUCCAAUUUAUUUAUGACCAUAUCAACUACCAAAAGAUAAUUUUAGUUAAAAUUCUCAAAUCUCUCCCCUCCUCUUAAAUCUUUACCUCUCUUAGGUGAUUUACGAAAUUCUCUCCGAACCCACAAAUCUCCCCCAAAUCUCCUCUUUUUAGUAUCCAAACGGGUGAUUUGGGACCUGGAAAAAAAUUUGGUCCCAAAUCACCUGUACAAAUCACCCCAAAUGACAUGUAACCAUCUUUCCAGGGGGGGAAACAAGGUUGGUAGUAGAAAACGAAUUAAUAUGUAGACAAUACUUACAUAUACUCGAGCAUCUUCUCAAAAGCCUCCAUGCUCAAGUCAUGUUCUUCAAUGCACGGAAGAACAUCCCCACUCAACCCAUUCUUCCCUUCAUUAAAGUCCUUCAUACGGGACAAUCUAGCUCUAAAAUACUCGGACCUUGCAGCUAAAACUACUUGAUGACAGUGGAAAACCUUCUUCUCCACCCUAAUACAAACAUCAGCUAGAUCAUUUACACAAUCGCUUGUCUGCACCGCGUCAAAACAACGAACCAGCUUAUCAAUGAUUCUAUUAUCAGGGGUUUGGUCCAAAGUGGACCUUCCCAGAGAAGUCUUAAGAAUUCGAUGUAAUGAAGCUGGAAGCCGGUCUUCCUCAGGCAGGGAGGAUCCCUGUAGGAUGAAUCGCUUCUGGGUAUUGUCCACAUCUUUCAAGGCCUUGUAUUCUGCGAAUUUCUGGUGAACUAGUUCGUUUUCAAGAAUUCUCUGUAACGACUCGCAUUUGCACACUUUACAGAUUCUUACAAGACCUUCCAUAUCAUCAACUGCAACUUCUAGUCUGUCGGAAUAGAAGAAAUGAAGGAGGCAGAAGAGAGCAGGAUAAGAGAGCUUCUCCUUGGCAAACCUUACUUCCCUUCGAUCCCUCCAAUCCGUUUCUAACUUCUUCUUAAAGAACGGAGAACGUGCACUUAGUAUAACUCUAUGAGCCUCAACAGGCCUACCUUGCACAAAAAACACCACAUCAGGAGGGAAGUGGUUGGAAUUCGGUGCACCACCAAAUGAAACACCUACCCAACAAUAAUCACACACUUAGUGUCGAAUUUCGUACAUUACUUGCAAGAACAAAUUCGCAGAAACACAACAAGUCCAUUAGGGUUUGAAUACACAGAUUUCUCCCAGCAAUUCAGAUACAACUCAUUUCUCCUAGCUUGGCACUACACAAAAAUCAAACUAAGGCAUUACACAAUUCAAUCAAACUAGCAAAGAAUCUCAACAAGCUUUGAACUUCGAAAGCAGCAAACUUCGAACACAUACAAAAAAAAUUGCAAAAACGGCGGAAAAAGGGCACGAACCUGGAACUUGGGAGCUGCCUUCAACAAGCUCCAAAUACGCCCUAUUGGCGGCGCAACUCAAGAAAACAUCACGCAAGGCGGCGGGCAGAGGACCUAAAGGAGGCGGACGAGCUUCGAAUGCUUUCAAAAGCUUCCUGACUUUCAAAUUCAAGGCGGCAUAGUGGCACCUAUCGCCGUCGAAGGUAUGCUCGGAGCAAAUAGCACCGCUUUCGAGCAGCAUACGAGCAGCCUCGAGAUGGCCAGCAAGACAGGCGUAGUACAAGGCGACGGAAUCCCAUUGGUCGCGAGCGUUGACGUUGACGCCGGAAUCCAAGUGGUAGCGGAGGCGGUCGACGUCGCCGGCACGAGAGGCUUCGAAGAUGUCGCCGUUGGGGACCUUCUUGAGGCGAAGGGAAGUGUUGAAAUCAGAAGAGUCGAGGUUGAUGUCAUCGAGGUCGAUUGGGUCCAUGGUAUGCGGAGACAUUUUGGCCGGAAGGGAGUGGGGAAUUGAUGGAACCCAGAAACGGUUCUUGUUCGUCAGAUUUUCAGUGGGAUGCUACUGGAAGUGUUGGUUCUGUUUAGGGUAUGAAAUGAAAAUGAGAUGCUUUUUCAUAAUGGCGGUUAGGUUAACAAACCGAACUGGGCGGAGAUGAACUUUACUAUAUUCAAUUUUUUGUGUUUGUUACCUUUAGGUGAAUUCAAGCUAUAAAAAUUUAGUUUAUGUUGAGUUCGAGUCUAUUCGAGCAUGGCUUGUUAACUACUUUUAACGAGUCAAAUUUCAAUUUCGCUCAUUAAAACUCCUGAAUCCAAGUUUGAUAAUGUAUUUGAAUCGUGUUCACUAAACAACAUCCACGAGUCAAGCUAUCCUAAAAUUUACAAAAAAACAAAUAGCAGCAGCCAGAAAAAACUAGAGUUGUUGACGAAUCAAACGGCUCAGUGUUCGGUUCAAAAAAAACUCAUUUGUAACUCGGCUUGAUUUUAAAUUAGCUAAGCUUGAAUUAGUAUAUACUCGAUUCGAUAACCCAACUUGAAUACUAGCUUGAGUGUAUGACUCGUUAUUAUACUCAAUAAUACAACAUAUAAAAUAUGUGAUUUGUGACUAGUGCUAAUGAAAAUGUAAGUGGUACAUUAUUUGGAUUUAACUAUUUAAUAAAAAUGUAUAAAUUUGUAAAUUUUAAGACAGUUUGUUAACUAUUUUUUCAGCUUGACUAGUCUAUGUCUUUUUAAUAUACACAAACUUCAAAUUUAACUUAAAUUGUAAUAAAUCAUCGGAUAAUUUUAAUGAGCGAAGUUAAGUUAAACUUGAGUUUGGAUUGUCAAAAAUACUUAUAACUCAUUUGGGUUGAUGAUUUAAAAUAAGAAAAAUUUGAAAUAAUUAGAAAUUUAAAAUAAAAAGAUUUGCAUAGAAUAUAAUGAAUAAAAAUCGAAUAGACUAAAAUUCGCCAAAAAAAUAACGGACGAAACUUAAACAUAAUAGAGCUCGGCUCGACUCAUCAACGGCUACAAACAAACCCAACUUUUAUCAAAUGAUUUCAAUUCACUACAAACCUCUCCAUCCUCCCUCCCAUCCAUCAACCGCACCCAACAAUUUACAUUUAUUAAAGAUUAAUCAAGCAUCAAGCAACUCCGCUACAUCAUGAUUGAUGACAAAGGGAGAAGAAUACCAGAUAAUCAAAGCAACAGUCAGAAAGAAGGACACUUUUGCCCGUUUUCCUGAGUUCAGAUAUCACGGCAGAGAAGGGGCAUCAUAAGCUUUCGAGUAUUUCUUCACUUAAAAGGGACGUAGUAGUUCCUUUCCAGGAUUCAUCUUUUUAGUUCCCUUCCUCUUCUUUUUCAUGACUAUGUAUAUAUGCAAACAGUUAAACAACCUUAAUAACAUGUUACACCACUUUGUGCUAUUUAUCCCCCAGUUUAACAGUGUUUAGUCUCCUCAGUCGCUCAUCAAGUUCUGCCAUUACUGCUGGUUCUUGCUUCUUCCUUUGCUUCGAUAUCGUAUUCGUAGUCAUUGAGCCUACUUUGUCAAAUGCCACCUGCGAAAAAAAACAGACAUUUACUUGACAUGAGCAUCUCAACAACGGCAGUCACACUCUAGCCUUUUUGAGAUGAGAGUAUAGAGACUUACUAUGAGUAAAUCAUCAGGAUCAAAGAGGUGGUGUGUGGUUCUCUGCAAUAUGUUGAUCACAUCACCAACAUGGUGUGUAAUGAGCAGCUGCUCUUCUUUCAUCUGCGAUCGAAAAAAAGACAGGAUCUUUUCAAUCAUUGAUGUCCAAAUUAAAAUCGGGACAAAAGAGUUCCUCAUUUGAAGAAGUAGCAGCACCUUGAACAUGGCCAAAGCGACAUGAAAGAGAACUUUAGCUCCCUCGUAGAAAAGGACAUCCCAUACUCGUAACGUUGUCUGCAUAAUCAUCAGGUGCCGGGGGUCAGAGAAUCUAAAGAAUCCCAAGUGAAUGAAAAGAAAAAAAUCAACAUUUGUUCAAAAGUUCGAACCUCUGACGGUAAGCUCUUAGAGAAUAGGCAUAAGAACCAUUCCGUGGCUACAAGGGAGACGUCGAACUCCAACGAAUCCAAAUGAGCUGCUAGCCUGCAGUUUCCAAUAUUUUUCCAAGACUCAAUGUAUGACAAAGGUUGCAAAGAAUGCAGACUGAUGUGAAUUUUUCGAAAAAGAUAUUACCUUGGACACUGUUUAUCCAGCAAAUCCUUGAAAACUCUUUGUUCAACAUGACACCCUGACAAGUUAGUUGUGUAGCAGUCAUUAACCAAUACAUUCUCCAGGAGGACGGCUAGCAUCCAAAAUGCAUCUUCCUCUGUUUUCAUUACAAGCAAUAACAAUGCAGCAACGUAGUUUAAACCCUGCAUGACCAAGGAGCUACAAGUUAGUGUAAAAUACAGAAAGCGAAUCAGUUUUGUUCUUCUAAGAUUUUAAGAUUGGAACCUAGGAUGCAGCUCAAAUAUACAAGAACAGAAGUGUUGCAGCAAUUGUUAGCAAACAUCAAGCCCCGCUGGAUACGCCCAUGAAAGAACCUCACCUGGCAAUAGCCAACAUCUGAAUCACGGAAGGAAUACGCAACAAGAACACGACGAAGAGCAGCAUGACCUUCUGGAGUGUCCAACCAUGGAUGACCAGGAAAGGUGCGGGGCAAGUCCUGUUAGCACAAGAGCAAGAUGUCAAACUUAAUUAAUAGCAAUAUAGAACAGCAGGCAAUAGAAAGGAUCUGGUAAUCCCUUCCCGGAAUUCGUGGAAGUUCGGAACUUUUUCUCUACUUCCUAAUUUUGAUCAUGAAAUGUCCUGAAUGUAUCAUGAAGCAUUUUGUAAGUAACAGUUAACGAACGAUGCAAGAGGGUUAAUAGGCUACCAGAGAGAGGAGCUUAUGUUACUUCAUCAAACAUUGAUCAAUACGUCAGAUGACAAUAAUAGGCUUCAACCAGAUAUUCACAAGCCGUAGUCUGAGGAAACUCCUUAUCAUGGUAUAAGUAGAUAACUUCAAAGUUUGACUGUUGGUCAUUGCCAGAUCAGACAAAGCCACACAAACAACGGCAUUCAGCUGACCAGAGAUACUGAUCCGUUUUAGGGAUCUCUACUGAUCUUGUGCAUCAGAAAUUCAGAAUUCAGAUCCUCAAGUUUUGGCAAUGACAGCAACUCUAUCCGAAGUAACAUCACAACUAAAUGGAGUGAAUGAAACUCCUCCAAAAGGCAAGCUUAUCCAUCAAAAUUGGACAAAUCACAUCGAGACAAUGUCAAGUUGUUAACGCAAACAUUACCAACUAUCCAUGGGAAGCAAAACCAAAUAUGACACCAUCUAGGUUAUUAAUCAAAAGUAACGCAAUGAUCAAAGUAAUCCAGACUCACAUGAUCAAUCUGUCUGGUAGCUGGAGUGACCUUCCCUUCAACAGCAACGAUCAAAUCAUUGUAAUAGCUAUCAGGAACAGUGGAUUUCUUCUUAGCAGCUCCAGAGAGGGAGAACCAAACCUUAGGCCUAAGAACAGGAGGUAUCCCCUUCCUGAUAAGCCUCUUGAGAGCUAUGGAGUUGGUAAUAGCAGACAAUUUGAGGGAGGACUUCAAGGCAAGUGACAAAGCCUGCGGCUGCAAGUACCAAUUGGCACCUUUGCUAGCCUCCAAUGCCCACCAAACUCUCCCUUGCUCCCUCACCUUCUCCCUCACUUCAUUCAUCACAUUAGCAUCAUCAACAUUGCCUUCAACAGUGAAGCCGUACAGGUCCUGGAAUUUGACUAUUAUAUUAGCCCUCCUUGAAUGGAUGCUCGGCCUCAGAAUCGGGACGUGCUGCUGAAAAUCUAAAGGAAGCUCCCUUUUCUGGUACAUAUUUGUUGUUCUUGUUCAAAAUGAGCAAAAGACUUGAAUUUUGAAACCCUGGUUGCUUGAAGCAUUCAAUGAAAGAAGAAGAAAAGCCAAAGCAGUCUACACCAAGGUACAAAAUUGGGGAUGUUUUACCCUUGGGUUGUUUCCAGUAACGAAGACAAAAUCCACACGAGAACAAGCACAAAGCCUGAAGCUUUGCAAAAGUGGUGGAGAAAACAACUAAAGAAAUAGAAGCCGACUGGUAGAAAGGCCUUAGAUUCAGUCAGAUACGCAAAACUCCCAGAGGAUAGAAACAAAAACCCAGCUGAAGAAUCCUCCAGAUGUGUACCAACAGGCGAGGAGGAGAGGCUCAAGGACAGAAAAGAAAAUGCAAAAUUUUUACUCGAAAGGAGGACAGAUUAUCUGGAGCCAGAAAAAUGAGCAAUUAAGGAAGACGACGAAGCUGCUGGAACUGGAGAAUCAUAAGAAAAGAAAGAAACUUUGAAAGCAGGAAACUAUUUUUGAAGAGAGAAAAAGCAAACACAACGGCGAGAAAACAGGGGCGGCCUGGGUAGUCCGGCCUGGGUACAGAUGAUCAAAUCAUCUGUACAAACAAAUGAUUGGAUCGGACGGCCCACAGCACACCCAAAUUUAUCAACCACUGGAAAGGAAGUGUUGGAACCCCACUGAUUUUCACUUUCUUUUUGAAAGUAACUUUCCCCUUUUUUCCUUAAUUUCUAUUUUUCACUAAUUUUAUUUAUUAUAAAAUUUUGUUAUCCAAACCUUGGAUCAAAUAAAAAAUUUAAAAUUUAAAUUAAAAACAUAAUAUUCUUGACUUUAAAUCUUAAACUCUAAAGCAAAUCAAAAAUUUAAAACUCAAAAUUUAAAAUCCAAAUUGAUUACCUAAUAUUUUAGACCCUAAACCUUAAAAUCUAAACCAAAUUCUAAAAUUUAACUCUAAAUAAAACCAAAAAUCUGAAAACCCAAAAUAAAAAACUCUAAUCUCAACCCAAAUCUAAAUCUAAAACUAAAAUUCAAUAUUGUUAGACCUUAAAACUUAAAACUAUAAACCCAACCUCAAAUAAAAAUCCAAAAUUAAAAAAUCUAAAAUCAAAAAAUCUAUCUUAAACUCUAAACCUAUAAACAAUUUAUAUAACAAAUAAAACUAGUGAAAAAUAGAAAUAACAAAAAUAAUGGCAGACACCAGCAUCUCGUUUCCAGCCGUUGAUUACUUCAGACCUCAUCUAAGCCGUCCAUCUGUAUCAUCUGCAGGUACAGAUGAUUUGAUAAUCUGUACCCAGCGGAAAUUGCGGCCUGGGGGUUGUGUAUGCCACAGAAUCACAGAAAGGAUUUAAGUGGACAGCGGAGAAGAAAUGAAAAUGGUUAAUCAGUUUGGUGACUGUUUUGUAAAUUGUCCGGACAGUACGGUCCUAUUGUUGUUUGAUUGUUUGUUACUUUAUUUUCUUGCAGCGUUUUGGAGAUUAAAUUAUUGUAAGAAAAUUGGAUAACAUGGAGAGACGUUGGAAUUUUUCUCCCCUUUUGUUUAUAAUUUUUAUUAGGAAAAAUUAUGACCUCGUCUUCAUUGCAGCCCGGCAGAAUGCGAAUUACCUAACUGCCCUCUCAAGGCAAGGGGUACUUUUGUAACUGUAAGAAGCAGCUCAACGCGCUUGAGAAACCAAUCAGAAUGGCAAGGAAGUAAAUUACAAUGACGAUCAGCACCAAAGGCGUGGUGGGGCCCACAACAAUGAUUGCCAGCAAUUGUAGCUGAGCUGGCCCAGCCCAAUGGCCCAACUAUUCCUUAGAAACGCUCCGACAUGGGAAUUCGUGACACGUUUCGAGCCUUUUUAUUAUUAUUAUUAUAUCAUAUUUGAUUUUCGUUCAUCGUCUUCACGUGUCCUCCUCUGCCCCUCACUGAGUUACCACUGUGCACGACCCACCGGACAUUUAUUCUUGAAGAUAAUUUCCCCGUCGUCGUCCGCCUCAGUAAUCAAAUACAUCUCCGGAUCCGGAACAAAAUAUGCCAGAAACGGGAACUGAAUAUUCACAAUCAAAUUCCUUUUUGGACAUUUUCAUUUACUGGGUUUUUGAGGUUUUUCACUCGAAAUCUUGCUCAGUGAGUUAAAUUAAGUUUCCCUCAUACUUCAAACACAUCCUACAAUCUCCUCCAUGGAUAGGCAUUUUGUUACAUUCCUAUAACUAAAGAAUUUUAAAUUAAUUACUAAAUAAUCAUAUUACUAUUAUAUUAAUUGUACAACGCAUUAGAAUUGCAAGUGUAUAGGAUAAAAUUAUAAAAUUAAUAAUUUAUCUAUUUCUAUUAGGCUUGGCAUUUUGUUAUGGAAAUUCGAAAAACCGUCUGAAUUCGAUCCGGUCAAUGUGGGUAAAAUUCGGUUUGACCGGAUGGCGAAUUGGAUUCGGAUUAAUCCGAAUCCAAAAAUGACGAGCUAUGGGUGGGGAUCGGAUUCACUGGUAUCCGAUCCGACUCCUCUGGAAAUAUAUAUACAUUACUAAAUUUAUAUUUCUGCAAUGUUGUUGGAUGGUUUAUUGUGUUGGUUAUUGUUGAUGAUGGAUUGAUGGUUGACUUGUUGUUUACUAAAUUUAGUAUUUUGGAUAAUUUUAUAGUUGUGUGGUUCAUUAUUUUUUGUUUAAACUCGAUUUUCAGUCUUGGUUCAUUAUGUUUCGGAUCAAAUUCGGAGCUUCGACCAACCCGAAAUCCGAUGAUGGGCGGGGACGGUAUCAAAUCUAUUGCUAUCAUUAGGCAGGGAAUCCCCGAAUCCGACAAUUUAACAGAUGAGUAAUGAAUUUGUAUAAAUCCAACUCCAACCCACCCGAAUGCCAACCCUAAUUUCUAUCGUAUUUAAUUAAGGGGUAAACUUAGAAGACAAGGGAUGUAUGAUAUGAUACUGAAGGGAAGGAAAAAAAUAAAGCUUUAAAUGAAGUGUGAAAUUCAUUUUCAAAACCAUAAUCCUAAUCAUCAUCAACGCCAUGAUCAUUUAAAUCAUCAUCAUCCAUCUCACACGAUGUUCGUAGUGGGCACGUUACACAUAUUCUUUAUCAAUCAUUAAUAGACAUUACCCAUUAACCAUGUUUUAAUGAAUAUAUGAAGAUUUAAUUUUAUCAAUCUAACUUUCGAAACCACUCUUAAAUAUUAUUUGACUUUCUCGCUCUAAAUCUUAAUUCAAAAUAUGAAAAACAAAUCAUACAUGUAAAUAGAGUAACCCAACAACCUCAUAUUCAUAAAAUAAUUAACCAUAUUUAUUUAUCACCAUCAAUCAUUCCAUAGACAUUUUAUCCAUCUUCUACUUUUGACCAAAUCGAAUUAUUAAUUUAAACUUUAAUAUCACGAUUAAAUAUUAUUUUCUCUUCCCAUUCCAAAAAAAAAAAACUCAAAAAGUAAAUCAAUCUAUCCUCACACUCAUAAACAAUACUCUGUCCUACCACAUUGUUAGAUAAUCCAAGGUAAACGAUUGAUUGUUCCAUUUGGAGGUACACUUUCCAUUAAUCAAUCACAGGGACCCAUUUCACUUUUUGUAUUGUUCAUAAAAAUACCAAAAGAAUAUUAUAUCAUUCUUUCGGCCGUCGUCGAUCCAGGAUCCUCGUCCUCAUACUGGUAUUUCUUCAAACUGCAAUCAAUUUGCUGCGACUUCUAUCUUCAAAAUUAAUUUUGAAGAGCAAAAUUGUGGAGCCUCUGUUCUUUAUAUUCAUUAAAGCAUAGAGGAAGAGGAAGAGGAAGAUGAUAGAGUGAAGAGGGUCAUGAAAAGGACAUUUUGUAAUUGGAUAAUUCCAUUUAAAAUUUCACACCAAACAANNNNNNNNNNNNNNNNNNNNNNNNNNNNNNNNNNNNNNNNNNNNNNNNNNNNNNNNNNNCCGAAUACCAUGAUAUUCGAGAUCCCGCAUACCAAACGACCCCAUAAAGAUAUCGAAUGAAGUAUGUACAUAUAUACACGAUAAACCAGGAAGUACAACCCACAGGCGGAUAUAUAUAAAGUUGUAAUGAUCAAACGAAUCAUAUGCACCACUUCCAAACUUUUUCUCAAUACCAGGGUCACUAUACUCAAAACUGGAGCAAUUGUACUCUUACCAAGUCCAAUAACAAUCGGGUCUAAAUCAACUUCUUAUUUAUUAAAAAAGGGACUCANNNNNNNNNNNNNNNNNNNNNNNNNNNNNNNNNNNNNNNNNNNNNNNNNNNNNNNNNAAAAGGGACUCAACUUUAGCAUUGAUCCUAAAUUUAAUUACCAACUUCUCCCUCUUCAAAGAGAAGUUAAAAUUUACAUUCAGAAUCUCCAGGUACCAUAACAACAUUAAUUGAUAUAAUUCAUUACUUUAGAAUAAAAACCCUAAAUUGAGACAUACGUUCUCCAACCAUGAUUCGCUACAAAUAUUUUAAGUUUCAAACUUAGUUUCGUCGGAGAGACCUGAUAUUACAAACAACUAAUUCAAAAGUUAUUCAUCGGAAUGGACAGCCGGCACGAAAUUUGUAAAUGUGUAAUUAAUAGAAUGGUCCUGUAAUAUCAACUAUGCAAGUAGAUACAUAUGUUUCAUAAAUUAAUACAUCUACGUGGAUCAACUAGCUAGUACGACACUCUGUCUAUGCGGGAUAACUGAAUNNNNNNNNNNNNNNNNNNNNNNNNNNNNNNNNNNNNNNNNNNNNNNNNNNNNNNNNNNNNNNNNNNNNNNNNNNNNNNNAAGUCAACAAUAUAUAAUACUUAACGUGCAGGAGGAAUAAAUUAGAAAUUAGGAAUUUAAAUAAGAAAUUUGAAUACUCGAUACAUAUUAAUGGUCAUUUAGGUUCAAUAUUUGAUUUAUUAUUAUUUGGUUAUAAAAAAUAAUUUACGGUGGUAUAUUAAGCUUUUAAGGACAACUUGCUUUGAUUAAAAAUGGCACAACGAAUAGUUUUUGGUAUAGUUUACGUAGUAUCACAUUAAAAAAAUAUAUUCACAAAUUGGUUAUUUAAUAUAUACAUUUCAAUUCAAAUUCGACUCAAUACAUGUUUCGAUCCUGCAUCAAACACUAAUUUAAUACCAAAAACAAUUUUAGUUAGUUGAAGGUUCAAAUGAUCAAAUUUUAAUUUACUUAAUUGUUGGUAAUAUUAUUUGGUGCAAUAGCUGAGGGGUGCAUGCACCCCCCCUCCCUUCAACGUGGCUCUGCCACUAUGCUCAAUUGCUUUUAUCCUUAUUGUGUGAAUUUAUCGACAUUGUAUCAUCUUAUGUUUUUAUUUGUACAAAUUUAUCCCGAUCAACAUGACAUAUUUAAUGCUUUUAUGUAUUUAACAUGUGAGUAUUGAGGUUUGAGGGGGGCGUGAAUGCUGAGUUAGUACUUUAUAAACUAUUACAAAAAAGUAUUUGUUAUAUAACAAAUGGCAUAAUCAUCGCAAAAAUCUUGAUCGUAUAUCUUUAUUUGUGGGUGCACUUCUUCGGUACGAUGCAUGCUGCCAGAAGACAUGCCCAAAAAGUGGAGAAACGGACUUUUUGUCAAAUCAACCCGGCCAUGUUAAAAUUGGUCUAAUUGACAAUUCCUCCUGUUGGGAGGUAUGUAUGCCAAUUUAUAUCCUCGUUAGACAUUUCAUGUGAAAUAUAAACCCCACAAAAUGAAAAAAUGAACGACAAAUAGCAAUUGGCCAUUAUAAUUAUAAGCAUAUACAUCUAAUUAACAAUGAUAUAAACUAUGGCAAUUAGAAAAGUAGUAUAUGAAUAGAAAUUGACUAAAUUUAUACAUUGAAGCUCCAUUCUCUAAUAAAUGUGAAAUUUAUUUUAAAUAAAAUGUUUAAUUUUUAACAGUUUCUUUUCCUUACAAUUUUUGUAUUUCCGCAAAGUUAAAUUUCAAUGUAACUCUAAUUAACUUGAUCUAGUUCAAUUUAACAAAUUAUCCAACCCGGUUUAAUCAUAUAAUUAAUUAAUAGCUAAAAUAAUAAAACAUGAAAACACUUACAUUUGAGAUUUUGAGUUAAUUUAAUGAUCGACAAUGUAGGCAUCGAUGCAAAUUAAUAAUACAUAUACAGAUUUACGUUUAAAAAAAAAUGAAACGAACCGAUUUAAUCUAUUGGACGAUUGAAUGUAUUUGAAGUAGUCGGACCAUCCGGUCCAAGCAAACGUGGGAAAUGACAUUAAAGAAGAUAAAUAACAUAAAAUCAAAAGGAGUGAAAGUCAAGAAACACAACAACAGCAAUGCCAAGUCCCCUCUGAAACAUGUCUCUCCUUCCUUCCUUUCCAUUUGGGUUUAAUUAAUUUGGCCCCAUUUCUAAUUUUUCAUUUCCAAAUGUUACACAACAUAAUUCGAAUUUUAUAUUAUGUAAUAAAAGCCAUUAAUUAAAAGCAUGUAAACAUGGGUGAAAUACUGUUUGGCUCGUGUUAUAUAUCGAUUCCAAGAAUUUACAAUAUUACGUAUUGGUCACAAAACAUACAAACAUGACAUAUUACUAUUUUUUUUGGUCGUAGAUAGUUUCCGAUAGAAGAAAUCGAGAUAGAAAAUAAACAAACAAACUAAUCAUCAGCCCAAUUCGUGAGAUCGGUCUCUAAACGAGUUGGGAGAUAUGAAAGAGCAUGUCUCGCCACUGUAUGGGCAGCUCCGUUGGCACCGCAUCAGACCAUUUGUACCACCAAUCGAGGGCACGCCGUCAAAAAGGCAGAUUCUCUGCGACAAUUGUUCCCCCUGCAACAUAUCUCGUGUUUCGUCCGAAAAGGCUAGAGAGAACAAGCCCUGCAUCACCCUUAAUGUCUACCUGCCAAAUGUCUCGCUGGAAGCACCAAUUACAAGCAUUUCAGACAGUCAGGAACUCCAAAACAUAAGGAUCAUGGAGGUCCGAAUACAUGUAAAUUUGGACCGGUAAAUUGUAAGUUUGAAGACUAGUAAAUUGUGAGUUUGGAGAUUGGUAUUGUUGUACAUAACAUUUAUUAUAAAUUGUGAGUAUGUAUAUAUAAGGUCCACAAAUAAGAAAGUAAGCUGAAGUCAUUAACUAGCUUUGCUUCGGAUGCCAAUUUGCCUGGAUAAUGUGUCGAGAUAAGAGUAGUAAUCAGCUAAAAUUUCCCCAUUUAUGUGCAUGAUUAAUAAUGGGGAUCUAGUUAAGACUUCUACUUAAUCUGCACCAUAUGUAUAAAAAAAAGAUAGAAAAAAUUAAGGGGGGUCUGAAAUUAAUUUAGUGCCGUGCCUAAUUAAACACAUUAGGUAGCAGUAUAUGCCGACCCCAGAACAGGACACGAAUAAUUCCAAGAUGUGUCUGAGUAAUAAUAAUUAUGAAAUUAUAAUCCAUGUUUUCGAGCUGUCCCAUUCACAUUCUGUCCCUCUACUUCAUUUGUUGCCAGCAAUACAACCAACCAAACUUCAUUUUCUCACGCCGUGCAUUUGGUUUUUUAUUUUAUUUUUUGCCAUAUAUAUAUAAUUUGGUUAGGUGAAUAUGAUCAUUUUUUAAAUACAUGGUAUUUUAAAACAUAUGGUAUUUUUAUAAAAUACGUAUAUAUGCGAUUUUGGAUUCAUUUUUAUAUGUUGGUGGUAGCAUGAAUAUGAAAUGAUUGCCAUGUCAUCUACGUACUGUGUUCUCCAAUUCACGGGUCAUUCAUCCAUAUGUUUCUUCUCAAUUACCCUGCUGGAAUCCAUUUCUCAAACUAAUUAAGGAACAAUGGCAUGAAAGUGAACAGGGCAAUGUGUGAAAAGAAUAGUGAUGAUCGACGUUAUAGUUUGNNNNNNNNNNNNNNNNNNNNNNNNNNNNNNNNNNNNNNNNNNNNNNNNNNNNNNNNNNNNNNNNNNNNNNNNNNNNNNNNNNNNNNNNNNNNNNNNNNNNNNNNNNNNNNNNNNNNNNNUAUAUGAUACGUUGUAUAUUUAAAUUUUUAAUUAAUAAAUUAUGCGGGGAUGGGGAUACCCAAUGGUAUUCGAAACCAUGAGUAUUCAAAAUCCACGAGUUUGGGAUGUGUAUGAAUAUUGAUAUUCGGAUGGGGACGGGGAUGGGAUGAAUUUUAUGAAUACGUAUGGAGAUGGGUAUAGGUACCCGUCCGAAACCCGCCCCAUUACUAAGCCUAAUUGUGAAAAAUGAAGAACAAAUCAAAAGUAAUUUGGGGUUAAAAAUAAUAAAAGUGUUAUAAAAACCCACUAUUUCAAAUACCUCAUGUCAAAAUACUACCGAUUCUAUUUUGGAUGCUAAACGUGAUUCUAUUUUGGAUGCCAAACGUGAUAUUUUAGCCAAAGUACCAUAUAAUGUGAUAUUUGGGCCAAAAUACCACUUCCAAAUAUUCAAUCCAAAUGACCCAUAAAUGUUGUCAAAUUUAAUCAUAUUACUUUGAAGCAAUCAACGUGAUGUCAAGUUUACUAAACACGAAUAGCAUAUACACGUACUACAUACGGAUGGUAUGUAUACAUGUUUAAUACGCAAAGUGCCAAACAAGCGGAGAAAAUUUAGACGACUUUAUAACAGUACAAGAACGUACCAAACAGGUUGUAUAUAGUCGAGUGGUUGUAAUAUUUGAUUUUGUUCCCAGAUAUUUUGGGUUCAAAGUUUGGAAUGUACAAUUAUUUCGGCGCCCAUAUGAUGACACCUCCGAUCUCACCUAGGCUGACGAUCGACAACCCCAAAGUUUAUCAGAUGACGACAUCACUUAAUUUGAUAUCCAUCGAAAGGAUUUUUCAUAUAAAAAUAUAUAAGAACGAAAAUUCUAAACACAUUUAGUACGAUACUAAACGACUCGUUAUUAUAUAUUAUGAGUUGACCGCACUUUAUUAACUAAUAGUGUGACUAUAUUGUAGUUGGCAAAAAUAUAUGGGUUAAGGAUUAACCAACUUCAUUAACAUAUAUAAUCUGAAGCGGUCAACUGAAAAUAAUGAGAUGGAAAGCCACACUGCGUUCCGUGUGCUGCGUUAAGGUGUAUUUUUGUAAUUUUGGAUGGGUUUUAUAUAAAUAAGUUAUUUUGUAUUAUUUUGUAUUACUUCUUUCUUACCAGACAAAUGCCUUCACCCCCAGUCUCUUAGCCCUAGCACGGUAUCUCGUCCCUCGCUCACAGAUUGCUAUCAGCAGAAAGUUUUAUGGAGUUGUCAUUACUAACUUUUAUGGAAAGAUUACCGAUGGUGAAGUCGGGAAGCUUGCGUGUUCAUCCGCCCUGGUUGCCAAAGCGAAAGCUCUACUUCAAGUCCUACGACAUGCUGAGAGGUCCAACCUCCAUACCCGCAUCCUCACCGGCGAUCUCUUGCUGGUUAUUGCCCUUAAUAGUACUAAAGAUGAGUGGUCGUGGGAGUGUCACACCUGGCUCCUCCUAAUGAAGGACAUCCUCCUUGUUCAUGACCACAUCUCCCUAUCAUUCAUUCCUAAAGGACUUAAUAGAGCCACAAACUACAUAGCUAAGUAUGCUCGCGCUGACUCACUUGAUCCCAACUGAGUUAAUUAUAAUCUCAUUUCGUGCCUUAUCUAUGACCUUCCCUUGAAUGAAUACAAACCAAUUUUCUUGUAAGAAAACAAGAACUAGAAGGAGAAUUGAAGUAUACACAUAUCAAUCUAACCUCAUGCAAGAGAAAUUGUUAUUUCGAGAGCUAGCAUGAUUUCUAUAACAUUACCUACAAGUUAAAUUUGAUAGCAGAAUGCUCAAAUACCAAUUAAGUGAACAACUAUUACAUUUAUAAUAACUCAAAUUAUCGAAAGAUGCUUAACUUGCGAUUAAUUUGUAUAAAAUAAAAACCAAAAAAAGAGGCAAAAUUUGUAAUUAGUUUAUAACAAUUCACCGCACAUCCACUCAAACAAAAAUUAACGACAUGGAGAUUGAAGUGUGCAUAAAUUCAUCUAAUAUUGUGCAAGAAAAAUUGCUAAGUUGACAUGCAUGAUCCGAUAACAGGACCUAUAGGUCAAAUUUGAUAACAAUAGUGCUUAAAUACGGAUUUAUUUUUCUAGACACUUUUUAAUACAAAAUAGUUUAUACGAGAAGGGAAGGAGAGUUAGAGAAAUAAGGGAAUGGAGGAAGAAAUAAGUUCUAAGAUUUGUAGAUAGGAAUUAUAGAGAGGGAGGAGGGGUUGUGGGUUCAAAAUUCCAGCCAAUAAUCAACCAUAACUUAAACGAUUGAUUAUAACUUUGGGGUAUCUUACAAGUUUAAUAAAAAUCCGCUCAAAUAUUAUGUUGAAAAUUACAUUACAAUAACUUGAGUUAUCGUAUAGAUGCUCAACAAUUAAUUUGUAUAAAAUAAAACCAAAAAACAUAAAUGGGAAAAUGGCGGUGGGUGGAAGGGUUUGAAUAGCUGUGAAAAGGACUGAUGCUGAUGAGAAAGUACCAACUCUUUUCUUCACCAAAGUGUGUUCAAAAUCGUGUACAUGUGGGGAUCGGAUUGAUUUUAACACUACACCAACUUCUUCACAAAACUCUGUGGCAGGACUGGACCAGCCUCUCUUUCUGCAACGUAACCCACAACCCAUAUUGAUCUUUGCAGUUGCGGGACAAACCAGCCCCCAAUUUCAGGUAAACAAAAUUCUUUGCACGGUACACUCCAGCAAUCCCAAACCCCUCAAGCACCACCAGUUAACUUUUUUCUUCACCCAAUCCAACUUUCCAUUCAACAAAAAGCUUCCCACCUUUCAAGCUUGUGCACGUGCAACUAAUUACUACCCUCCUCAACAAAAACCUUCUUGUAAUAUUUAAUUAUAACAUGUUCAUGUACACUACCACAUAUAUAUAUAAUCAAUAAACAAACCAAGAACCAACACACAUUGAUGACUUGUUAGUAGUGUAGUUGAAUCAAUAUUCACUAAUUUGGUCGAUUUUGAUGUGGGUUUUUCUUCUCUCCUGGAACUAGAGGAGCUAAUUAAAAAUUAGCCGAAUUGAUCUUGUAUAUAAUUAGGUUGAUUCAAUUCAAUCAACCGAUUAAAACUUGUCAAACCUAAAGUUUACUCAUUUUCAAUCAGUUCAUAACCCAAUGAAUUUGUAAUCCAAUAAAUUCAAAACACUCUUAAUAACUUGUAGCUAGAUUGUCCAAGUUGCAAGGAUGAAAACUGACAUGUCAAUGUGGAUCAAUAUAUAUGGUAGCUAGCUAGCUAGCUAGUACAUUGAUUUAAUUAGUUUCCCCACCCUACAUUCAGCCGAGAGAAAUUAAAAUUGUAUUGUAGGAAUAAAAUAAAAUAAAAAGUAAAAAAAAACAACCUGAAAAUGGGAUGAAGCUAUAGCCAUGGAGUGAGUACAUUUUGUGAAUUGGAAAAGAAGAAAAAGAAGAACAAUAUUUAAAAUUAAAAAAGCAAAAUGCCUGGCUUUCCCUUGUACGCCGCCGGCCGGCCGGCCGCCUGCCUGACUAGGUUGAGGAUGGAGGAGGAGGAGGAUGACAACAACGACGGCGGCUUUCUUCAGAAACCAUCGUUAUUGAUGAUGAUGACUCGCCAGGCACCCUUGCAACAUCCGACGACGGUGGUAGUUCCUCUUCUUUUUCAUGAUCAGGAUCGCCAUAGUAGUGUUCUGUUCCUCUGAGGUUUUAAGGAGAGAGAUGGGGAGGCAAAGAGAUGAUGAAAUUAAGAAGAAGAGGGAAGGGAAGAGGAAUGGUUCCCAAGGAGAAGAAGACGAGAGGGUUUUCCAAUAAAUUAAUUAAUAUUUACUUUGGUGGCCGUGUGACCCUAUUUCUUUUAAGGACCCCAAAAUAAAUUUUUACAAAAUACCAAAAUAAUGAAUAAUGUAACACACAAGGAAUAGUGUUGUGAGUGGUGACUAGUGACCG